rnacentral:rRNA from 1 species
UACGAAAGGUGCAAGCGUUACUCGGAAUUACUGGGCGUAAAGCGCGCGUAGGCGGCUUUGUAGGUCGAUUGUGAAAGCCCAGGGCUCAACCUUGGAAUCGCAGUUGAAACCGCAUAGCUUGAAUGUUGGAGAGGGUGGGGGAAUACCUAGUGGAGAAGUGAAAUUCGUAGAGAUUAGGUGGAACACCAGAGGCGAAGGCGCCUGCCUGGCCAAACAUUGACGCUAAGGCGCGAAAGCGCGGGGAGCAAACAGG